rnacentral:rRNA from 1 species
AAAAAAGGUAAGCUACUAAGAGCGAAUGGUGGAUGCCUUGACUGGUAAAGGCGAUGAAGGACGUACUAGACUGCGAUAAGCUACGGGGAGCUGUCAAGAAGCUUUGAUCCGUAGAUUUCCGAAUGGGGCAACCCAAUGUAUAGAGAUAUACAUUACCUAUAUAGGAGCGAACGAGGGGAAUUGAAACAUCUUAGUACCCUCAGGAAAAGAAAUCAAUAGAGAUUGCGUCAGUAGCGGCGAGCGAAAGCGCAAGAGGGCAAACCCAGUGCUUGCACUGGGGGUUGUAGGACUGCAAUGUGCAAGAGGUGAGUUUAGCAGAACAUUCUGGAAAGUAUAGCCAUAGAGGGUGAUAGUCCCGUAUGCGAAAAACAAACCUUAGCUAGCAGUAUCCUGAGUAGGGCGGGACACGAGAAAUCCUGUCUGAAGCUGGGUCGACCACGAUCCAACCCUAAAUACUAAUACCAGAUCGAUAGUGCACAAGUACCGUGAGGGAAAGGUGAAAAGAACUGAGGUGAUCAGAGUGAAAUAGAACCUGAAACCAUUUGCUUACAAUCAUUCAGAGCCCUAUGUAGCAAUACAGGGUGAUGGACUGCCUUUUGCAUAAUGAGCCUGCGAGUUGUGGUGUCUGGCAAGGUUAAGCAAACGCGAAGCCGUAGCGAAAGCGAGUCUGAAUAGGGCGCUUAGUCAGAUGCUGCAGACCCGAAACGAAGUGAUCUAUCCAUGAGCAAGUUGAAGCUAGUGUAAGAACUAGUGGAGGACUGAACCCAUAGGCGUUGAAAAGCCCCGGGAUGACUUGUGGAUAGGGGUGAAAGGCCAAUCAAACUUCGUGAUAGCUGGUUCUCUCCGAAAUAUAUUUAGGUAUAGCGUUGUGUCGUAAUAUAAGGGGGUAGAGCACUGAAUGGGCUAGGGCAUACACCAAUGUACCAAACCCUAUCAAACUCCGAAUACCUUAUAUGUAAUCACAGCAGUCAGGCGGCGAGUGAUAAAAUCCGUCGUCAAGAGGGAAACAACCCAGACUACCAGCUAAGGUCCCUAAAUCUUACUUAAGUGGAAAACGAUGUGAAGUUACUUAAACAACCAGGAGGUUGGCUUAGAAGCAGCCAUCCUUUAAAGAAAGCGUAAUAGCUCACUGGUCUAGUGAUUUUGCGCGGAAAAUAUAACGGGGCUAAAGUAAGUACCGAAGCUGUAGACUUGCGCACAACUUAGAUUAUUUAAGUUUAGAAUAUGAGAAACUAAGUUAUAUGUUUAGUUAUAUUUUUACUGAUUUUUAUAGAGUAAAGAUAGAAAUAAAACUUAGUAAAAUCAGUAAAAAUAUUCUUAGACUAAAGUUAAGUAGUUUAAGUUGUGUGCAAGUGGUAGGAGAGCGUUCUAUUUGCGUCGAAGGUAUACCGGUAAGGAGUGCUGGAGCGAAUAGAAGUGAGCAUGCAGGCAUGAGUAGCGAUAAUUAAUGUGAGAAUCAUUAACGCCGUAAACCCAAGGUUUCCUACGCGAUGCUCGUCAUCGUAGGGUUAGUCGGGUCCUAAGUCGAGUCCGAAAGGGGUAGACGAUGGCAAAUUGGUUAAUAUUCCAAUACCAACAUUAGUGUGCGAUGGAAGGACGCUUAGGGCUAAGGGGGCUAGCGGAUGGAAGUGCUAGUCUAAGGUCGUAGGAGGUUAUACAGGCAAAUCCGUAUAACAAUACUCCGAGAACUGAAAGGCUUUUUGAAGUCUUCGGAUGGAUAGAAGAACCCCUGAUGCCGUCGAGCCAAGAAAAGUUUCUAAGUUUAGCUAAUGUUGCCCGUACCGUAAACCGACACAGGUGGGUGGGAUGAGUAUUCUAAGGCGCGUGGAAGAACUCUCUUUAAGGAACUCUGCAAAAUAGCACCGUAUCUUCGGUAUAAGGUGUGGUUCGCUUCGUAUUAGGAUUUACUCCGAAAGCGAAGAAACUUACAACAAAGAGUCCCUCCCGACUGUUUACCAAAAACACAGCACUCUGCUAACUCGUAAGAGGAUGUAUAGGGUGUGACGCCUGCCCGGUGCUCGAAGGUUAAUUGAUGGGGUUAGCAUUAGCGAAGCUCUUGAUCGAAGCCCGAGUAAACGGCGGCCGUAACUAUAACGGUCCUAAGGUAGCGAAAUUCCUUGUCGGUUAAAUACCGACCUGCAUGAAUGGCGUAACGAGAUGGGAGCUGUCUCAAAGAGGGAUCCAGUGAAAUUGUAGUGG